GAUGAAGAACGCAGCGAAAUGCGAUACUUGGUGUGAAUUGCAGAAUCCCGCGAAUCAUCGAGUUUUUGAACGCAAGUUGCGCCCGAAGCCAUUCGGCCAAGGGCACGUCUGCCUGGGUGUCACGCAUCGUUGCCCCCCCAAACUCCGGUUCGGGCGGGGCGGAAGUUGGCCUCCCGUGCGUGCCUGCGCGCGCGGUUAGCCCAAAAGCGAGUCCUCGGCGACGAGCGCCACGACAAUCGGUGGUUUUUUUACCCUCGUUCCUCGUCGUGCGUGUCCCGUCGCCCGAACGCGCUCUUGUGACCCUCACGCGUCGCCUCGGCGGCGCUCCCAACGCGACCCCAGGUCAGGCGGGACUACCCGCUGAGUUUAAGCAUAUCAAUAAGCGGAGGA
rnacentral:misc_RNA from 1 species